AGUGAGCGCUGGCGGUAGGCCUAACACAUGCAAGUCGAACGGCAGCACAGUAAGAGCUUGCUCUUACGGGUGGCGAGUGGCGGACGGGUGAGGAAUACAUCGGAAUCUACUUUUUCGUUGGGGAUAACGUAGGGAAACUUACGCUAAUACCGCAUACGACCUACGGGUGAAAGCAGGGGAUCUUCGGACCUUGCGCGAUUGAAUGAGCCGAUGUCGGAUUAGCUAGUUGGCGGGGUAAAGGCCCACCAAGGCGACGAUCCGUAGCUGGUCUGAGAGGAUGAUCAGCCACACUGGAACUGAGACACGGUCCAGACUCCUACGGGAGGCAGCAGUGGGGAAUAUUGGACAAUGGGCGCAAGCCUGAUCCAGCCAUACCGCGUGGGUGAAGAAGGCCUUCGGGUUGUAAAGCCCUUUUGUUGGGAAAGAAAAGCAGCAGGUUAAUACCCCGCUGUUCUGACGGUACCCAAAGAAUAAGCACCGGCUAACUUCGUG
rnacentral:rRNA from 1 species